AUGUUUUUAAAUUAUUUCGGUUUUGCUUAUUAUAUUUGUUAUUUUUAUUAUUUUGUUUAUUAUAUUUGCUACUUUACUUCACCAUAGAAUAUAUAUUGUUUCUCUAAUAAGCCAUGUAAGUAGUAGCAUACAAUAUAUAUCAUCAUUGGUAAUUUUAGACAGUGCAUAAAUCAAAAUGAAAUUUAAUUUAACCAAUAAUGCCAGUAGC
rnacentral:lncRNA from 1 species